rnacentral:rRNA from 1 species
UACCUGGUUGAUCCUGCCAGUAGUCAUAUGCUUGUCUCAAAGACUAAGCCAUGCAUGUCUAAGUACAUGCCGAAAUAAGGCGAAACCGCGAAUGGCUCAUUAAAUCAGUUAUGGUUUCUUAGAUCGUACUUUUUUACUUGGAUAACUGUGGUAAUUCUAGAGCUAAUACAUGCAGCAGAAUUCCGACCUUCGGGGACGAAUGCUUUUAUUAGACCAAGACCAAUCGGGCUUCGGCUCGUCUGACCAUGGCGACUCUGGAUAACUUUGGGCUGAUCGCACGAUCUCGAAUCGGCGAUAUUUCUUUCAAGUGUCUGCCUUAUCAACUGUCGAUGGUAGGCUACGCGCCUACCAUGGUCGUAACGGGUAACGGGGAAUCAGGGUUCGAUUCCGGAGAGGGAGCCUGAGAAACGGCUACCACAUCCAAGGAAGGCAGCAGGCGCGCAAAUUACCCACUCCCGGCACGGGGAGGUAGUGACGAAAAAUAACAAUACGGGACUCUUUUGAGGCCCCGUAAUUGGAAUGAGUACACUCUAAAUCCUUUAACGAGGAUCCAUUGGAGGGCAAGUCUGGUGCCAGCAGCC